UCGCCGGCCACCAGCCCCGGGCCCGACAUGGCUGGCUCCGCUCUGCGCCGCUCCGCGCCUGCGCGUCCGUCGCCGAGCCCCGCAGGGCGCCUGCGCCUCGCCGCCCGCCCCGCCGCGCCCCGCCCCCGCGCGCCGGGCUGCCCUGGGGGAACGCGGGGGGACCGGGCCCGACGGGGACCCCCCGGAGAAAACACACCGUUAGCAUGCGGAGACACUCCAGGAGCGAUUGGGCUAACAACUUUUGCAAGGAAGAAAUUCAUGCUUGCCAGGUGGAAGACGUCUACCCCCUUGGUAUGUUUGCGGCCAAGGCCAAAACCAAGAAACAAUUAUAGGCAGCUCUAGGAUUAGACUUCCACAAACUUUAUCUAAAGAUGGAAAAGCUUACAAAUAAUAUAAACGAUAUUAUAUAAAUUAUGUAUAUUUUUAUAUAUGGAAUAUUGUUUAUAUUAUUAAAUUGUAAUUAUAUAAAAUUAUAAAAAUAUAAAUAUUUUUAAAACAAAAGAAAAAUUUUACAAAGUGCUCAGUAUAGGUAAAAUAGGUCAAAGUGCAUGAGGCAAAGUGUGCACUCUUUUGCAUAAAAUUAUUUGUUCAGUAGCCAUGUUUAUAAAAAAAUACUCAACAAAGAAACCUGCUUCUUUACCAAGACUGCGAAGGAUUUUGUUCAUCCCCCUUGGUUCAGUCUCUGGAAUACUCUCCAAAUACUCCAAGGCACGGACCUCAAAAAGACCUGAAGAAGAAAAAUAUCACUCAGCCAUUCCCAUUUCUUAGUAUGUGGCAUCUCAAAUUAUUAACAAGGUUAUGAAAAGAAAAUUGUGCCUGCAAUAUCAGCUGCAGGAUCAAGCCUAGAAAGGAGACAGAUACACAAAAAUUCUUUGCCUAACAAGACGCAUUCCACUGAGUCAUUAGAAGGCAUGAAGCUAUUGCCGUUGCAUUGUGCCAUAUCUGCAUUACAUUUGCCAUGGUGCCAACAGGGUAACUUGUCAGGACAGAAGGCUGCUUAAGAGUCAAAGUGAUGUGACAUUAUACUUUGAAAGUCCCUUUGUAAAAUGAGAAAAGGGUAUUAAACCUCACCUUUGACCAUGCUCUUACUCAGCUCUCGAUCUUGUAUGAACCCUGCAAACAUCUGUGUUUCCAUGAACAAGUGCAGGAAAUGACGCACAUUACGUGACAUAUGAGAUUUUCGGAACAAUUCCCGCUGAAACACCCACUCCCCUUUUUCUGUGACAUUCAUGUGUAGGGAGUAGUGUCCAACAAUCUCCACAAAGAACCGCACAAAAGCUUCAGAGACCAGGGAGUUAAGAGGCAUAUCACCUGUGAAAAGUACAACAGAGUAGUCAUUUCCCUCUACAUUCAUCAUUUUGAGCAGUCCUCUUCUGAGAAAGAGUCAUAUAGUCUAUUGUAGACGUACAGUCUAUGUAUAGACUUUUCUAUACAGGUACCUUGUGUGCUACUCUGCUCCUGAGACAGGAUUUCACUUCGUUCCUCCAAGAUUUGUACAAGUGCAGCCUGGAGCUUAUGAGGCAGGAUCUCAUCCUCAUCUGAUACCUAAAAAAAGAAAUGGCUAGGAAGGCAUUUUUGUGUUUUAUCUGUCAUCAACAGAAACUUCUCACUGUGAACAGAUGAGAAAAGCUUGUGACACACCUGAAAUGAUCAGAGGGAAGUUACUCUACGAUAUGGGGUAUGUCUUCAAAUGCAUUGAAGACAAUGCAUUUGUCUUGUAGCCACAGCAAUGAAAAACAUUUGCUCAGCACCUUCCAGCUAAGUAGUAGUAGUAGUCACAUGCACAAAUGACCAACACAGAAAAAUGUAUGCUACAUCCACUACACAGACUCAGGCUUAAUAUACCAGUGAUAAAACACACUAGAACAAAAGUCUGCUCAGAAAAGAUGGCAAGUCACAACAUUCUGUUGAAAAAGCAGUCCUUUAAUACCUUUCUCCAGUUGCAGGCUGCAACACAAAAUAGAACAAUAAGGCAAGGAAAAGGAGAUGCAAAUACCCUCCUGAACUACUAAUGCUCCAGGAUGUUUAUGUAGAAGGCACUUUCUUUACAUUGGGGAAAGUUUGGGGCCAGCAGAGAACUGCAAGAGAACUGUGAUAGCUUGUCUUCUAGAUUAUCAUUCCUGAAAAAAAAAAAACAAAACACCUCACCUAGAUGAGAGAGGAGAAAGCCCUUUCGAGAAUGGGUGCACAAAAACAGGAAGACAGCCAGAAAGCAGCAAAGAAUCCUAGUGGUCCACUUAACAAAUCAACUAAGAAUCUAAGUCCAGCCCAGAUAAACAGCACCUUCAGUUUCAUAGGGCUCUGUAUCUCAUACAACCUCAGCCUUGCAAAAAGGAUCCUUGCAAGCCUGUUCACUUUCCUUCUCUGUGGAUCUAAAAGGAAUGCAGGAUGUUACCUGGCCCCCCACAGUCUACACAUGAAUACUAGCUUGUGCUGAUUUCUUGCUUACAAUUCCAUUUGUCAAUGCCCUUUCCCAGCGCAUAGCCAUGAGUGGCCAACAACGUUACUUCACUCACCUCUUGCAAAAACCGGUCAGUGCAAAGAUCAACAAUCAGAACCUGGGGAAGGAUGUACAAAACACAUUAACUCUUAAUCCAAGUAUGCUGCUGUACAGAAAAAAAAAAAAGAAAAACCUUUUUUUUUUUUUUUAAUGUCCUCAGUGGCACAGAAUUUCACACACAAACCACAGGUUUUCCAUAACUGCAUCCUGUCCCUAAGAACAAUCAAUAUUAUUUAUCUGAAAUAACAAUGGAAUGGCCUGACAUGUAUCUGGCAAGUCAUCAACAGUCUCGGAAAGUUUAACACUUCAUAUCAAGAGAGUAUCCACAGUUUCUUCCAGAGAAGUUAGCAUCAUACCACUGGAAUUGUUUCUCCCCUUUUUUUUCCCCCAACUCUCACCUCUUCUAUGGGCAGGUCCUGGAGCCGUGGUAACGAGCAGGAGAGAAUGCCAAUUAAGAACGGGGUCGGAGAGCAGGCAAUAUCAAUCAUGGAAGUCGGUAGGACUGGUAUGUAGGUGUGUUGCCAAGUGAAGGGAUAAAGUGUUGCCACUGCGGCAUGGCCACAUUUAGACAGAGUGCUAAAAAGGAAAGAGAAGCACAGAGUAGGUUGUCAAUGUAUUCAUUGCUGAGCUACAGACAUAGUUUAGAAAUGUUCAUGAAAACCAUAAUUUACAUACAUUCUUUAUGCGACAGCAGAAGCCCCAUGCACCUACUUUUGAAGUCAGUUAUGGAGAACCAGAAAUAGCAUCAACCCACACUAAAGAAAUAAGUAGGUAAGGUAACAUGCCCUUAUCUCCUUUCGGGUAAAUAGCAUACUCCAAAUUCUCAGCAUGCACAUACUAUAUGGAGAAUCUGCAAAAAGCUCUUAAAUGUAACUAUUUACAAAAAGUUAGACAAGCUUGCACAUGAAACAGGCCCAAACACAGAAGAAAACCCAACACUCUUCAGAAAGAAAAAGUCACUCAGACUCAUUUUUCACCUUAAAUUGUCAGCAACCAAGAUCACCCUCCUUUCCAGCAGGAGAGAGGCAAAGACCCGAAUCAUGCGAGAGACACUUAAACACUUAAACAGGCAUUCGAAGUCAACAUGUUCAAGUCGAGAAUCCAACGGACGGCAGAGUUCCAUAACCUGGGAGAAAAGCAGAGAUGCAGGACUCCGGAUGAGAGCGCCACAACAUGGAGGAGGGCUGGAUGGGGGGGAUCUCUCUGGAAAGCAAACUGAUGGAUCCUCACAAGUAGGAACCAAGCAGCUUAGACAGUUCAGGGCAUCACAAAGGCCUCAACCAGCACUUCUCUAAAAAAACAGGGAAUCACUUCUAUCGCAGUAUGCUUCUGCAGGAGGCAGGUUUCUCUGACAGCCUCCCUUGAAAGUUUAGAAAAUAAUCUUCACAUUAAUUACUUACAGCCAGCACCACUGUACAGUGCAGUUUGCAAAGUGCCACUACACCCCAGUGACACCAACCAACAGAAAAAAGCCAGUCCGGAUUUCAGUUACCUCAUUUCCUGCUCCUGGCAGGAAACUCUUCACAGUAAUAGUGCAUCCAGGAGCAGGGAAAGGUGCCUCCAUGACACUACGCAUAAAUGGGUGCACUAGGGCUGGGGACAUCUCUCGUCUCUUCUCCACUUCAUCUAAAAUCUGCGAGAAAAUAAAUCAGACAGUGGUUCAGUGCCUGCUGGUGAGCCAUACAAGAAAUGAUUCUAUGCUGCAUUAUCCCAUUCUGCAGCUACACAUGAAGGGUGCAACAUGGACUCUCAGCCCUCUUCCCCCUUGCUUGGGACCCCUGUGUAAGCUCUCAAAGAUCUGAAUAAUGAACAUGGGAAUAGGUACUACAACUUCCCAUUUCUCAAAUCCAGUCCCCUGCUACUGAAAGGAAAUGUGUUAUAUGUAUUAAUCAAAUUCUCACAACUAAUUAGAGGAGUAGCUUCUUAUGUCUCACCCUUCAGCAAGACCCCAUCCUCCUCUCCAGGAAGCCUUUCUGAAAUGCUGUUCUAGAAACUCAGUGCUCCAACAGUUAGAGACCAGCUUUCAUCAUAAGCUUGUCCCCUGUAUUCUUCCGCAAUAGCUGCCCUUUACCUGUAAUAGCCUUUCCCAGCAUUUACUUCCUUACCUACUCUCCCCAUGGUGGUAGGAGAAAUAAACAGCUCUUUUUUCUCCUCUUAAA